rnacentral:lncRNA from 1 species
UGAAAUUUAGGCGGGAUAACGAUAUAAAAUUAUCGAAUCCACGAAUUUAAUUUUAAUUUAGCGCAAUGGAAUUAAAAUAGCAACCACUUAAAGCAAUAUUUACAUUGAAUAAUUUAUCUAUACAAUUUACAUCAUAAUUAGAGCAUAUGUAAAUGCCUAAUUAUGGACCGAACAUUCCAUAUACUAAAAUUUUAAACAAGCAGCAUAAUCGAAUGAAAAGCACACAAACCAACAUUUACAUUACUAUACCAAUAUCAUGAUGUCAAAAACAAUUCUAGACCACCAUAUUUGGAUCCAUACGCCUGAAGCCACCAAAAAGUAAGUAUAAACAAUUCUUAGACCACCAUGAAAUCAUAAACAGCAACUCCAACAUCAUUGCAUGAGUUAUGUCAAAAGUAAAACAAAAUUUUGAUAGAUAAACAAUUAAUUUUCUUCAUAUCUCACACAAACUUUAUCAUGCCUCAAUAUCAACUUAUCCAAUCUCUUGUAUCAAUUAUGCUAACAAUAAUAUUUAAAAAAACCUUAUUUUCCUUUACUAAAAAAAUGCAGAAUCCAUGAAUUAUAACACAAAUCCACUUUUUCAAGUUUUAAGAAUCUCUCUCAGUUAUAAAUUUAAUCUUUAAUAAAUUCCUUCAACUUUAGAAAGAAAGGAAGAAAAUGAUAAUAACAAACAGAAACACGCUUUAAAGCGAUAUACCGACAUGUUUGAAAUUCUUCGGCGGACGGAGGUAAGUCAAACAGCGGUCCGAUCGUAUGCACGGCGGAGGACGGUUUUCAGGAUGACGAUGUUGCUUUGUGCGUGGAGUAGUGAUCAUGAGAAGUUCAUCGGAUUUUGUUGGAUUUUUUGUUCACCUUCUUUUUCUUUUCCAGAUCUGCUUUUUUUGUGAGUGAUGAAGGAUGGAAUCUGAGGCAUGGCCGAAAUCGUGGUGGUUGAAGGGUAUUGUUGAGGAAAGAUGUUCAUCGAAGGUGAAGGGAUAAUAUGGGUCUUUGUGUAGAUCAUGAUGGAUUUGUAAUGGAGUUAGGUUUCGUGUGGGUGUAGGAGGAGAGAUUUUGUUGAGUUAGUAGUUGUGAGUUUUGUUGAAAAUAAUAUGGGUUAUGUGGUGGGUGAUAAAGAUUGGUUUUUAAGGAAAGAAAAAGAAAGGUCAGAGUGUGUUAUCUGUUUUUUGGCUGAGAAGAAUAUUGAUAUUCUUCUACUUUUUCCUUUCUAAUCUUGAGAAAGAAAAAAUAAAGAAGAUAGAGAGGGAAUUAGUGGAUCGUUGGUUGUGUAUGGUGAAUCCUUUAUUUGCAGGAAAAAUCUCAACUUUGUGGGGUCUUUUUGGUUUUAUGUACCUAUUCUCCUCUUUUCAAUUGGAAAAGAAUAAUGAUUUUUACUAGAGAGAGAGUACUGUAUGGUGAAGAAAAGAUCUGUUGGGAGUGGAGAGUCUCCCCCUAUAUAUGCGUGACAACUAUGUUUAUGAGUGGCUUCAAG